CAAAGACAAAGGUACCACUUCAUCAUCAUCAGCAGCUGCAGCAGCAGCGGCAUCGGGCGGCAUCAUAUGGUGAGAAUCAGCGCGAGAAAUACGAACGUCGCGUCGGUCAGUCCUCUCGCCAGGAUUACACGUGCUGAUUCCCCACCUACAGACAAAGCUGCUGGCCUCAACGGGGAGACAUGGCUCAGCGUGGCCUCUCUCAAGAUCCGCCCAGCAUUGACGAGGGCCUCUAUUCCAGGCAGCUCUAUGUGUUGGGACAUGAGGCCAUGCAGCGGAUGGCCCGAUCUGAUGUGCUGAUCUGUGGGAUGCGGGGCCUUGGCAUUGAGAUUGCCAAGAAUAUCAUCCUCAGCGGUGUCAAGUCGGUCACCAUCUAUGACCGGGGAGAUUGCACCUUGACUGACCUGUCUUCGCAGUACUACCUGAAUGAUCACUGCCUUGGCGAGAACCGUGCCGAGGCCUGUGUAGCUUCACUGGCCGAGCUGAACAGCUAUGUGACGGUGAUGGACCACACAGAGCCCUUAACCAACGACUUCUUGAAGCAAUUUCGUGUGGUGGUGCUCACCGACACUCCCUUCGAGGAGCAGCUGUCCAUCUCUGCCUUCACGCAUGCCAACGACAUCGCCCUCAUCGUGGCCGACACGCGGGGCCUCUGUGGGCAGAUCUUUUGCGACUUUGGCGCGAGGUUUCGUGUGCUCGACACCAACGGCGAGCGGCCCAUCUCUGUCUUGCUUGCCUCCAUCAGCAAGGACAAAGAAUCAGUAGUGACGUGCCUGGACGAAGUGCGGCAUGGUCUGGAAGAUGGUGACUUUGUCGCCUUCUCCGAAGUCAAUGGCAUGACUGAGAUCAACGAGUGCCUCCCCAUGAGAGUCAAAGUCCUUGGGCCAUAUACUUUUAGCGUCGGAGACACAACUCGCUUCAAUGACUACGGACAUGGUGGCAUUGCGACGCAGAUUAAGAUGCCGAAAGACAUCGAAUUUAAAUGCCUGAAGGACUCCUUGGUAGCCCCCGUGUUCGUAUCAUCGGGCUCUGCCAACCCGGAUCGCCCAACUUUGUUGCACGUGGGAUUUCAAGCUCUGCACACUUUCGAGAAGAAGCACUCGCGUCUGCCCCGCCCUUGGAACAAGGGGGAUGCAGCCGAAGUGGUGAGCUUGGCCAGAAAGAAGAAUGCCUCGCUGUCCACUCCGCUGGCGAGCCUGGACGAGGCUUUCCUCUCCACCAUGGCCUACGUGUCGGCAGGCUCCCUCUGCCCCAUGCAGGCAGUGAUAGGAGGUAUUGCUGCCCAAGAGAUAAUGAAGGCAUGCAGUGGCAAGUUCAUGCCAAUCCAGCAGUGGUUCUACUUUGAUGCCUUUGAGUGCCUUCCCCAGUCAGGCACCGUUUCGGAAGAGAGUGCCAACGCAUUGGUGAAAACACGAUAUGGAGCUCAAGCAUGUGUCUUUGGAGCUGAUGUGCAGAAGAAGCUGGCAUCACAGAAAUAUUUUUUGGUUGGUGCUGGGGCCAUCGGCUGCGAACUGCUCAAGAACUUCGCCAUGAUGGGUCUGGGCUCCAAAGGUGGCUGCAUCUACGUCACGGACAUGGACGUCAUCGAACGGUCCAACCUCAACCGGCAGUUCUUAUUCCGACCCUGGGACGUUGGUCAAUUGAAGUCACGCGUUGCUGCGAGAGCUGCGGGCAAUAUGAACCCAGAUGUCAAGAUUUUGCCACACUGCAACCGAGUUGACCCCGACACUGAGAACGUCUACACGGACGACUUCUUCAACUCCCUCAAUGGAGUGGCCAACGCACUCGACAACGUCGAGUCACGCACCUAUGUGGACAGCCGGUGCGUUCAGCUCGGCAAGCCGCUGCUCGAGUCGGGCACCCUGGGCACCAAGGGCAAUGUCCAGGUGGUGGUUCCCCACCUGUCCGAGUCAUACUCGUCAUCGCAAGACCCAGCCGAGAUGUCCAUCCCCAUCUGCACUCUCAAGCAUUUUCCCAAUGCCAUCGAGCACACAUUGCAGUGGGCCCGUGAUGAAUUUGAAGGCCUGUUCAAGCAGACGCCUGAAAUUGCACACAAGUACCUGGAAGAUCCCAGAUCAUUUGUGAAGAAGACGCUAAGCCUCUCAGGUGACGAACCAGCAGAGGUGUUUACAAGCGUGAAGAAGCAGCUCGUAGAUGAGCGGCCCACGUCUUUUGCUGACUGCGUGGCCUGGGCCAGGCUCCACUUCCAAAACCAGUACAGCAACCAGAUCCGGCAGCUCCUUCACAGCUUUCCCAGGGACUACUGUACCAGUACGGGGGCACCAUUCUGGUCUGGCUUCAAGCGCUGCCCCCACCCCAUUGAGUUUGAUGCCGGCGAGAGCCUUCAUAUGGACUACAUUGUGGCCGCGGCCAACCUGCGAGCGACCGUCUAUGGCAUCGCCAACUGCACAGACAGACAGGAAAUCAGUCGCAUCCUUGGGCAGGUUACGGUGCCCCUGUUCAGGCCACGGUCAGCCGUGCGAAUUUCGGUUACCGAGAACGACACAUCAUCUGAUACUGGAGGGCCUGCUGACCCAGAUCGGUUCAACAAACUGAUCGAGGAGCUGCCUCGACUGUCGUCACUGGCAGGCGUGAGUGUGACACCCCUAGAGUUCGAGAAGGAUGACGACACAAACUUCCACAUGGACUUCAUCGUGGCAGCGUCCAACCUGCGCGCCUCCAACUACGAGAUCCCGCUGGCCGACCGGCACCACAGCAAGCUCAUCGCGGGCAAGAUCAUCCCCGCCAUUGCAACCACCACGUCCCUCGUGGCCGGUCUCGUCUGCCUUGAGCUUUACAAGUUGGUACAAGGGCACGACAAGUUGGCGCUGUACAAGAACAGCUUUGUCAACCUGGCAUUGCCGUUCUUUGGUUUCUCUGAGCCCAUUGCUGCAAAGAAGAUCAAGUUCAACGGCCAUGAUUUCACCAUGUGGGACCACUUUGACGUACAGGGAGAGCUCACCCUGAAGCAGUUUAUCGACUACUUCCAGAAAAACCACGAGGUUGAGAUCACCAUGGUAUCCCAAGGAAAAGCCGUGCUGUUCCCACCGAAAUUUCAGGAGCGCCUUGAUCUUCCCCUGAGCGAAGUGGUGGCCCAGACGUCGAAAAAGCCCAUUGAGCCCCAUGUGCGCAACCUCAUCUUUGACCUCCUUUGCAAUGACAAGAACGGCAUGGACAUUGAUGACAUGCCGCCCGUGCACUACUGGCUGCCCAAGUGAAGUGCCAUCUGUGUGGCCAUGGCACAAGGUACUUGUGUUGUUGUGGCCCCGGGAUUCCGUGUACCGACCGCGCCAGUCCAUGGAUAUGGCAGCCAAGGCCCACAACUCAUCUUCAUUGGGUUGGAAGGCUGUGCUACUGGCGAUCCAGGUUCUUCAUCGGGUUUAGUGACGAAAAAAAUUUACCUUUAGUCUUCGCUGUCUUGAGCCUUCUUCUUUUAAUUUCUGCCUCAUCAAAUUAAACCAGGAGAGAACCAGUC